CCCAACCAGAGUAAGAGCAUACGAUGACAAGGAUAUAGCAGAAUUCACUAACUUCUGACAUAACAGUAAAGUCAAUGAGCAAAUCAGAUAUAGGUAAUGAUCCACCAGUUUGAUUCCCUGGUUGUUAGCUUGGUCCUUGUCGGGGCUAUUUUGUUGGGGCACAUUCCAUGCAUCCUCUGGCCACUGUUUGUAUUACUGUAGACGGUCAAUGUUUGCAGCCAGUGACGUGGAU